AUUCCUACGGGAGGCAGCAGUGGGGAAUAUUGGACAAUGGGCGCAAGCCUGAUCCAGCCAUACCGCGUGGGUGAAGAAGGCCUUCGGGUUGUAAAGCCCUUUUGUUGGGAAAGAAAUCCAGCCGGCUAAUACCUGGUUGGGAUGACGGUACCCAAAGAAUAAGCACCGGCUAACUUCGUGCCAGCAGCCGCGGUAAUACGAAGGGUGCAAGCGUUACUCGGAAUUACUGGGCGUAAUGCGUGCGUAGGUGGUUAUUUAAGUCCGUUGUGAAAGCCCUGGGCUCAACCUGGGAACUGCAGUGGAUACUGGAUGACUAGAAUGUGGUAGAGGGUAGCGGAAUUCCUGGUGUAGCAGUGAAAUGCGUAGAGAUCAGGAGGAACAUCCAUGGCGAAGGCAGCUACCUGGACCAACAUUGACACUGAGGCACGAAAGCGUGGGGAGCAAACAGGAUUAGAUACCCUGGUAGUCCACGCCCUAAACGAUGCGAACUGGAUGUUGGGUGCAAUUUGGCACGCAGUAUCGAAGCUAACGCGUUAAGUUCGCCGCCUGGGGAGUACGGUCGCAAGACUGAAACUCAAAUGAAUUGACGGAAU
rnacentral:rRNA from 1 species